rnacentral:rRNA from 1 species
CGAACGCUGGCGGCAGGCCUAACACAUGCAAGUCGAGCGCACUCUUCGGAGUGAGCGGCGGACGGGUUAGUAACGCGUGGGAAUAUGCCCUUCUCUAAGGAAUAGCCACUGGAAACGGUGAGUAAUACCUUAUACGCCCUUCGGGGGAAAGAUUUAUCGGAGAAGGAUUAGCCCGCGUAAGAUUAGAUAGUUGGUGGGGUAAUGGCCUACCAAGUCUACGAUCUUUAGCUGGUUUUAGAGGAUGAUCAGCAACACUGGGACUGAGACACGGCCCAGACUCCUACGGGAGGCAGCAGUGGGGAAUCUUGGACAAUGGGCGCAAGCCUGAUCCAGCCAUGCCGCGUGAGUGAUGAAGGCCUUAGGGUCGUAAAGCUCUUUCGCCAGAGAUGAUAAUGACAGUAUCUGGUAAAGAAACCCCGGCUAACUCC